rnacentral:rRNA from 1 species
ACCUACAGCCAUGCCACCCUGAACAAGCCCGAUCCCAUCUGAUCCCGGAAGCUAAGCAGGUCUGGGCCUGGUCAGCACUUGGAUGGGAGACCACCUAAGACCACGUGCUGUAGGUG